rnacentral:rRNA from 1 species
GAUGAACGCUGGCGGCGUGCCUAACACAUGCAAGUCGAGCGGUAGAUAUUGGAAUGAAACUUCGGUCGAGUGAAGAUAUUGAGAGCGGCGGACGGGUGAGUAACGCGUAGGCAACCUGCCCCAUACAGAGGGAUAGCCUCGGGAAACCGGGAUUAAAACCUCAUAAUGCGAGAGAUUCACAUGUUUCUCUCGCCAAAGAUUUAUCGGUAUGGGAUGGGCCUGCGUCUGAUUAGCUAGUUGGUGAGGUAACGGCUCACCAAGGCAACGAUCAGUAGCCGACCUGAGAGGGUAAUCGGCCACAUUGGAACUGAGACACGGUCCAAACUCCUACGGGAGGCAGCAGUGGGGAAUAUUGCACAAUGGGCGAAAGCCUGAUGCAGCAACGCCGCGUGAGCGAUGAAGGCCUUUGGGUCGUAAAGCUCUGUCCUUGGGGAAGAAAAAAUAGAACGGUACCCUUGGAGGAAAGCCCCGGCUAACUACGUGCCAGCAGCCGCGGUAAA